CGGCAGCGCGGAGCGCGUUCUGUCUAUGCCGUGGUUUUUGUUCUGCUGGUAAUAUUUUGACACAGAGUUGCUGUUGGGAGGUACCAGAGGGCCUUGUCACCGGCCCUCACAGCACGCCGUGCUUUCCUGAAGUGGGAUCUGCGUGACGCUGAAGGACACCCAGCACGAAUCGUUCCAGCUGAUGUUAAGAGGUUUCACACCUCCAACGGCACGCAGCCCUGGGAACGGCUUCACAGCGGAGCUGCGGAGGCCACAGCCGUGAUGUUAUCACGGAGCAGCGCUGGGUUGUGAAGGCACGGGAGGCUGCUUCCAGUCUGGGGCUGUUUGAGGAAAUCACACUGCUUCCAGGGCUCUUCUUUUCUACAAAUUCCAUGCUGGAAAAAUUGGAGCUGGAAUCGUAACAAUUCAAAACCAGGAAAACAAAUAAAGAGAACCUUGCAUUAAUUGUUUGAACUCCGACGAUUUCCAGGGUCGCAUCGAGAUUUCUGGAUGGAGUUCAGAAUUUCUGAGCUUGGUUUGGCCGGCUGCCAAGGGGUGCAUUAAAACCUCUGAAUAAUACGCACCGGUUGCAAUUUCUCCUUAUCUCUGCCACCCUCUUGAAAGUCGUUUAAUGCGAGGAAGAUAUCGCAGAUGCCAUGUCAUGUAACGCAGCUCGCUGGCCUGGCAGAGGGCUGCUACGUAAGCAUGCAGCUGCUCUCUCUGUGAAACUGCAGGUCUGCACAUGCUGAGCACGGGUUGAGGGCCGCUCUGUCCCCCUGCGGUUGGUCCUCACAGUAUGCUGGCUGCCACGGGGACUUGUAAUUCAAAUCCAUGACGUUCUCAAAGACUCAAAGGCGGAAAAUGUCAUGACAAAAAAUCAAAGGCUGUCCACUGUACUUCAUGUGUGAGUUGUCUCCUAACUUCCCUGCAAGAGCACUGAUGUUGCAGGUGUGUUUGUCCCCAGGUAGCUGUAUGGGAGGCCUAGCCGUACACUUGCACCAGACAAAGCAGACCUUCAAAGGCUAGCAGACGUGUUUCAUCUUAAAUGUACCACGUAAAGUGUUUGUUAAGAUCUGAAUUUACAGUUUCUCGCUGAUAAAAAGACCUCUCCCUAGAGGUGUAGAGAGAGGUAAGAUCCUUUUCGUUUAGGAAGACUUAAGAAAAAAACAAAGAAUCAAAUAACCGUGGUUACUCUGCCCGAAAGCUAAAAAAUCUGUAACAAAUGAAAAUAGAUUUCCUAAUCAGGAGAUGAACUUCUCUCGGUGCUAAAGAGUGUAUCACAAAAGCAUUUAAAAUAAUUCCAUCGUUGGAUGAAUAAUUCUUUGGUGGGAUGGAUGUUUUCACAGGUUUCCUUAGAACAUCAGGAGUGGGUCUUGGUUUGCUCCUAUACACAACCAAAAUAUCCAAUUGCUUAUGGCAGCAAGUUGGAAGGAAGAGAGAAAGGUCAGUACAAACACUACAGCCGUGGCCCUGCCUAGCUGCUCUCACUGCUGCCAGCCAGCAGGUAACAGCAGUGUGCCGGGGACCACCACAGUUUUCCCCAUCUUUGUUCACUUUCCAGCUUCUCUCUCUUUCCUCUGCUUUCUGUUACGGAUGCAGCCAUGAGCUUGUCUUGGGUACACAAAAUUAACCUUUGCCUACAAUUCUGAGAGGCUUUCAGCCAGCUUAAAUGUGAGCACAUGAACAUAGGCUCAGAUCCGCAAAUAGACCGGGGUGAUGCAGCAUGUGACUCCCACGGCAAAAUCCAGCACUGAGAACGAGGCUUUACAAACACCCAAAUACGUGGAGCACUGCAGUGGCUGACAGAAGUUCAAAGCUUUGCUGGGCUACUGAGUGAGGAGCCACCUCAAUUUACCUGCAAGAAGGACUGAGGUUUGGGAAGUCUGGACUUCAGCAGCUGUACAGGGCUUUGUCAAAUCUUGCCUGUCAGAUUAAACAUCAGGUCAGACUGUCUAGGAUGCAGUUUGUGGUACGGCUUGGAUGUUAGACUAGUGGAAGGCAUACACUCCAGACCCCAAGUCACUUCUAUGGAUUUCAUCAUCUCUUGGGUUUUUUUUUCUUUUUCUUUUCAAUAUGCUGUUAGAAUAUGAACACAAUAUGUAGCAUCCUGCUAUUGGUGUCAUGAAUGUCUGUGGAAAUAACAUUGUCUGUCAUCAAUAUUUAUUUUUCAGAUGAGCACGAGGUGUCCCUGUUGUAGGUAUGACACUGGAAACUCACGCUCAGAUGUUUCACCAGGCUACAGAUAAAAGCGUGAGAAAGAGAUUGUUGUUCCAAUAGAAGUCCCAGCCAGCUGCAAGGUCUUACUCAGAAGUAGCAGACACAGCUCUUCUCAAACUGUGAAUGAGAACUGGUGGUGACAGACUUAUUGAUAAGGAUGGAGUUGACACUGAUCAGGAGCUUCAGGGGCUCUGACCACUACUCAGCAAUUACUUCUGCACAUCCAAUCUCCAAAUCAAUCCAAUUUACUCCCACCCGCUCCCAAAUCAGUCCUUCUGUCAGUCUCUUGCAGUUCCCCCUCAUUCAGUCACCUGCUGCUCCUCCUCUUUGCAGGGCGGCUGCAGGUACAGCCGAGAUGCUUUCCCUGCCUCUGAGCAGUGGGAGUGACAGAAACACAAACGGCUCUUCAUUCUCCGAUCAUCCCAACAUAAGGUUUCAAAAAUGAAAGUUCUCAGAAUUUUCUGUCAUUCCAAUAGUUCUUUAUCCUAAAGCAGAAUGGGACUCUUUCUUAGGAUAGUUGUACAUUUUUCCCAACAGAGCAAAGAGGCUACGGCCUCACUACAACUCUCAGGUCAGAGCACUUGUGGAAGUCCAGAACUAUUGGGAUUCUCCUACAUAGCUGGUUUGCCCUGAGGUAUUCAACAGUUUCAGACACCUUGUAAGAGAGAUUAGAAAAUGGGAUGGAAACCUUGAUGAAUAGACUGGAAUAGUUUUUGAAGUUCAGGGCCAGAGAAGGAGUUCUAGAUGUCUCGCUAUCCCCAACCCUCAAACUAAAGGUGUUUCUGUCAGGUGUUUUGGUACUGUUACCCUUUUGCUUUACCAGAAACCAACAGAUGCUUGUAUUUGGAAAGGAGCUCUUCCAGUCUUGGCAUACUGCAGCCCAAGGACAAGUGGACCUUGGGUGAGAACUGUAUUUGAUGCCAAGCAGAACGCUCCGGGGGUACCACCCUGCUCAGGGUGUUGACACUUCUGGCUAUUUCCCACAUUUCCACGACAGCUGACAGAAAAUCAUUCUCAGUAUCCUUUAGGCUGCUCAGACUAGAAGCAUCCCAUUAAAGUACAAAUCAGAUAAUCAGAUAAUGGUAACAGAGGUUCCUCGUACCUCCUGGGUGGUGAGAAGCAGAUUAACAGUGUUGUUCGGGAUGUGUACCCACUGCUUGGAGAACUGCAUUGAAUUAAGAGGUGUCUCACUGACACAGAAUUUUCUCUGUGAAGAAACCAAGAAAUGAGGCUCUAUUACAAUUCUUCCAUUUCUAUGCAAAACUUUUGGAGAUUUUUCAGUGAGAAUUUGCCCUUGAGAAUUUUACAGCUUUUACAACAAAGAGGAAAUUUUCCACCUAAUGUUCUAACAAUUGCAGAGUAAAUUGCUUCAAGACAUUAGAGAAGCUUUAAUAACAAAGAAAAUUUAGGCAUCGUGUCUAGACUAGUAGGCAAAUAAUAAAUGAAUAAAUCUCACUGAAGUCGAGGGCAUAAGCACAGCACAGCUCAGCAUCAAGUAUGGCUUCAACUGCAAUCUCAGACCACAAGAACAAUUAAGCUAAUUAAUACAAACCUUGAUGAGCUCUUCUGCUGGAUUUUCCAGUCUGCCUAGAUGAACAACAUUCACUUUGGCACUGCUUGAUCUCCAAAUGCUUAAGCUUGCAUUUAAGCCAACUUGUAUAUUAAAUACAUUUAUGUAUGUACACAUGCAUGUGCAUGCACACACGCACACGUCUUUAUAGGCCAGCUUUGCUGAUUUCAAGGGCUAAAGCACCCAUCCAGCUCUCACAAGGCAAUUAACCUUCAUAUGCAGGAACCCGGCCGCCACGCUGUGCUUCUCUCUUUGUUUUUGGACAGAGGAUUAGGAGGCAUUACAAUCAAGGUAAAACCAGUGGCACAGACAGAGAGAGGCAGAGAGCUUUCUCAAUCUCACCCUCACCAACACCUAAAAAUAACAUUGCUGAGAUGUCAUGAGGAUGUCACAGCUUGAGUCGGCCUCACGGCAUGGCACAAAGCUAAAAAGUGGUGGCAGGGGCUGAGUUCAUAAAAUGGGCUGAAGACAGAGAAGCCCUGACAGAGCAUCUCUCACCUCCAGGGGCAGGGGAUGCCGGCUGGGAGGACCUGCCCUGAUCGUGUGUGUAAGGGCGAUACGUGGGCAAAUCUACUGCCUUGCUUUCUUGUCAUGGAGACAUUUUCCUGUCGAAGAGUUUGUGAUGUGCUCUUGGUGCAUACAUGCUGCUGCCAGACCCAGAGCCACUGGCACAAAAGUAGGACGAUGACAGGCCUGUACCCAGAAAGAGAGGCUCAGGAGGCAACACUUCUGGGAGGGAGCUUGAGAACACCGUGUGCAGGCUGGGAAGAGGACAGUCCUGAGGCAAUAAGAGUGUGGCUUUUGCAGACUCCUUACGAUUGCUCAAUCACCAAAGCCUUUAAAAACAAUGCUUAAAAAAGGAGCUCGUUGGAAUAAUUUCUCCCAGCUUUGAUGCUCGACAUGUCUUGCUGCAGGACCAGGCAAGCCUUGUAAAGUGGGAUUUCUCAUCCCACAGCACUAUCUCGAGCACCAUUUCUCCUUUCUAAUGUAAAACUGGCAUAACCAUUCCUCAUUUGGGUUAAUUUAGCAGUCUGCAUCUCCCAUUAUUUGAGCCCCACAAUUACAAAAAUGAACUGUAAACACAUAUCCCUUCUGUAGCUCCCUACUGUCAUCACACCUCCCUCUCCAGUGUCUGUAAGCUUCCAAGGCAGAAGAACAAUUUAAUGAGCAAACAGACUAACUGGCACUGCUUAUUCCUAGAAGAAAUACACAUCAACACAAAAUACUUCAGCUAAGUGCUAAGAGACCAGGUGCCAUACUUAGCAAGCGGAUCGGCUGUGGUACUACAGGAUUACUGCUAAAAAGAACCAGAUACUCUGUUUUCACUGUCACACAGAAGGCAGUACCAGGUGUCACUUUAUCAGCUGGAAUUACACGAGUAAGGAAAAAAUGCUCCUCUAACCUGAUAAUGGCACUUGGCUGCUGCCUACUCUCCUACCCAAAGGUUCAGAUCCGACUGGUGUGCAGCCGGGCAAUGUGAAUACCAGACAUCUGUAAGGGUGGUGUGGGACCCGCCAGAUCACCCCUGGUUCUAACAGGGGAAUUAGGAAAGAAUAAUGAUAGUGAUGCCCUUACCUUCCUCAGCUUCUGAAACAAUCAGUAGUUACAAUUGUUUUAUUUUUAAUCUAAAUCCACUGUGGCAUUAAUGAGCUGAGAGAAAACAAGCACAUUUACACUUUAAUACUCUACACUGGCGCUGAUAUGCUUUCACUUGCAUGGUAUGAAGAGAUGUUAUAAGCAGAGAAGCACUGCAGGUACGGUGCAGGCAUGGGCUCUCAAGCAGAUUGAAUCUCUGCCCUUGGACCGACAGUUCCAAGCAACAACUGAUGGUCCCGUGCCAGCUGCCUACCGCUGUUAUUGAAAUUAUAACUGUGUUUAUAUGGAAUCCAUAAACUGUGCUUUAUACACAGUCAUAAAAAUACUGCGUAUAUUUAUCUCCUAAAUCACUUCCAAAAAUGCCUUUCAGCUCUGGCUCCAGUAGCUGAGCAGCUCACCGCCAGGUGGCAGAUGGGUACUCAAACACUCCCAGCCACAGACGACAGCACGGAUGGAUAAGAUCACCCGGUGCCCGUGCGUUUGGCAAACCAAACCGACAGCUUCCUGUUUAAUGCUGCCGAGGUGCAUGGAUGGAUGCCACCACGCCACACAGCCCAGCUUACGCUCCACUGGCAGUUCAGCAGUUACAGUGCUGUCACAAGUCUUAAUCCUCAGGUGAAUUCUCAAUGGUUAAGAAAAAAAUGCCUUUUUUUGGUUAACUGGGAACCUUCCUAGAGAAAGAAUAAACACUCAUUGAACACUUGCUCAUUUACACCUGUAAUAUUCUGCAUACUCAAACCUCCAUGGGAUGCGUUGUUUCUUACCACUCCAAUCAUUUGGGUUUGGAGUACCAAUGAACAAUUGGUGUUCCAGAGCACUCACGGGUAGAAUGAAGGGCAGAAGAUGAAAACACCAUCCAGGUAUUCCAGGAGUGCUCAAUUCACUGCAGUUACAAUACUUACUGCAAAAGAGCAAAGCACUGGGAGCAAUUUCUACAUGGGGGAUCACUCCUCUGAUUUAACGCGUGGCUGGGAUGGGUGGCCACAUCGGGGCUCACAUUUCUCACGCUUUCUGUUCUGCAAAAUCGAAUUCAAACUGGUACACAGCCGGUGAGAACACAGCAAUAAACAAACAUUAUUUUUGAGACUUGCCAGAUAGCCACACUGGGUUCGUUCAAACACGUUUGCCGUAGUAGGAUCACAAAUUGUCAAACCAUCAAAAUGCAUUUUCAAACACAAAACUGACACGAUUAAAGAAAGAAACCACUGCAAUUUAAUAGCAACAAUUUCACUUUACAACAUAAUAAAGGUGGAAACUUCGCAAAGGAAUCUGUGAAAAGAGAAUGUAAUGAAAAAUUACAGAUUUAAAAGAACAGAAAGUUGAAAAUUAAAUAGCACAGUAAUUCGAGUAGGUUGGAAUUGUAACCAAAUACUCAUUGGAUACAGCAUUCUGAUUAGUAAGUGACACUGUGAUACCAGCACUGACUGAAAUCCCAUCAAUACCAUCCCUCUGAAGCAGGCAGGAUUUGGCUGUUGGAUGACCUUGCACAGACGGACAGAAAGUUACCCACACCACAGAGCCAGUUCACAUGUGGUCAGUAGCAAAGCUCCUGAACGCAACAGGAAGACCUGGAAGGCACACAACCACCAGAAGGUGACUUACUGCUACUACGGUGACUUCAACAUUUAACGCACUCCACAAACAGAAAUACUAUAGAUUUCCUGCAGACAAAUACCACUGGCAAACACGAACCAAAACAAAACAGACGUGAUGUAGGUUUGUGGAUGGAGAGGAGCGCUGGACUGGGACCUAUGAAAUUUGGAUUCAGCUCCUGGGUUGAGACCAGACUGUCAGAUUAAUACAUUCAGUGAGAUGGGAAUUACAACACUGGCUCUGAUAUCUAUAGGGAAAAAAAAAAAGGAAAAAUAAAAGAGUCAAGGCUUAUUAUUAAAAAAUAAAUAGAAACUAUACAACACUUUCUCUAAUCACCUUAGAGAUUACAUAAUAAUUAACUUUAUUAAGUGUGCCUGCUGGUAAUGCUGAGUAAAAUAACGGAAUGAAACGUGAUCGAAUGUCAAGGAAGGACUCCACGUGAGUGAAGUCAUACACACUUUGUCUUCUUUGAACUCAAUCCAUGCCCAAGUCAGCAGUGCCCAGUGGAUGCGGGUACCCACAGAAAUCCCAGAACAACAAUGGCUCCCACGAGCAGCAGAUCCAGCACAGAAGUCCGGUGAUGCCGGGAUUUCAUUUCCAAGGUGCGCACUGACACUUAAGCAAUAGCGAAGUAUUUAUCAAGAUGGAGGGUGAUGCUUUUCUGAGAAGAGGUCUACAUUUCAGUAUUGGCUGAAGCUCAUUAGAACUGCUUAAGAAAGUUCAAUUGUUAGUAAGUCACAUAAGCACAAGAGAAACCAAAGCCUUUUGCUCGUUAAAUAAUAUAAAAUAAAGUGAUGAACAUAAACAGAGGAAAAAACCCACAAUUUUUUUUUUUUUUUUUUUUUUUUGCAGUUUAUUUUCAAUUAUAAUUUUUGGAUAACCAAGCAGCUCUGUAUGGAGAAAGCACAGAAGAGCAGUUCUGGCACUUUAGGAUAGUACAUUUGUUUUUUCAAAAGGUUUUCUAGACACAUUCAGUCCACUUGCUCGGCCUAUAGUCCAUUUCAUGAGCAUGAUUCGCUCAUGCGAUUCCAGAGGAAGCUAACAAUAUAUACAGUCAAUGAAACUAUCUUCUUGGCUACUCUGGGCCCUUUAAAAUGUCUUCUAAGUCUACCCUGGCUAAACAGAAUCCACAAUAUACAUGAUAGCUACAGAAUACACUGUACUGAAAUGAGAAAUGCUCAGCACAAAAGGGGACUCUUGGCAUGCAGCUUAAAAUAAAAGGUAGAAGUUCAGAAGUUUAUAAAAUCCCAAACGGGGUCAAUUAAAAGGAGUUAGCAAAAGAAGGGACUGUUCAUUGUUACUGUAAAAAAGGCACUUUGAGUAAAUGGGACCAGAAUUGGAGGAAUCUUAGUCGACACAAAGUUCAGUUUGGUUUCAUAAAAAGGCUUCAAUGCUAAGGGAUGCUACUCAAGUUUCCUGCAGUUUUACAUUAAAAUAAAUUGCUGAGUAGUUUAUAAUAAAGGACAUAAAAUGUUUACAACCAACUUGUAAAAUUAAGAAAAGCAUAGUAUAAGCAAAAUAUUACUAAAAGCAGCAAUGCAUAGCCUUUCAUUGAGAUAAUGCACAAUUUUGGACACCACGUGUCAAACUCUUGUUUUAGGAUACUUUCAGUAGCAUUAUCAACAUAAAAUUGGCCUACAAAACAAAAGCUUUACCAGCUCCCAUUCUUAAGGAGAUUGAGGUCAUAAACCAACCAAAACGAUUUGUCAGUAUUUUCAACAUCCUGGAUGACCAAUAUCAAGUAUAUGAAAUAACAAUCACACUCUUCGUUCAGCCAUCUCACCCGAGGCAGCCGUUAAAUCAGAGGAAUGAUUUUAAUUCUUUUUCUAACAUUUACACAGUAAUGCGUUUCAGUUCUUUCACGUGUUGCUCACCACAGUUUAUUGUUCUCUUUUCUCUCCACAACAAAAAGAAAAAAAAAAAAAAGAAAAAG